rnacentral:sRNA from 1 species
CCCAAGGAUCAAAUGCUAAAAUCGCGACAUCAUUCGCUGCGCAUUUGCGACCUGCGUCCUGCAGG